rnacentral:rRNA from 1 species
UACGUAGGGGGGCAAGCGUUUGUCCGGAAUUAUUGGGCGUAAAGAGCGCGUAGGCGGUCCGGUAAGUCAGCUGUGAAAGUCAAGGGCUCAACCCUUGAAAGCCGGUUGAUACUGUCGGGCUAGAGUCCGGAAGAGGCGAGUGGAAUUCCCGGUGUAGCGGUGAAAUGCGUAGAGAUGUGGAGGAACACCAGUGGCGAAGGCGACUACCUGGCCUGUUCUUGACGCUGAGGCGCGAAAGCUAGGGGAGCAAACGGG